CUGUACAAGGCCAGGCCUUCCAUGCUACCACUCAGGAUGACAGAGAACAAGCUGAGAUGAAGGCUUUUUACUCUGAGGGAAACUGACCGAAGCAGGGGAAGAAAAAAUUCUUUCUAGAUGCACCAAUCAAAGCAUGGUAGCAGACAGCAAGGCCUAACCAGUUGCUAGCAGAUCUAAAUAGGAAGAUUGUGACAGUUCUGAAAACAGAGAUUAGGGGCACUAUAACAAUCAACAGAACGGCUAAUUGGGGCAGAACAGGAGAUCAUCCUUAUGAGAAGGGGGAGUAUUAGCAGCAUUUUUACAUGAACUUAAAGAAACUUCAGACAUUAAGGAAGACAAAAAAAGAAGAAUCUCUCUGUUGAAAAUCUACUAUAGGUGGGCAUCCUCAACACAUGCAAAUAGGUGUCCUUUAGUUGGCCAGCCAUUUGCUAUAUAAGGAUUCCAAAUUACCUGCUCCUGAUUGCAGAACAGCACCAAAUUAGAUCUCUGACUUGCCCCCCAGCUUGGUAUUUGUAAAGAUCAUUUCAUGUGCAGCAUUAGCUCUUGGUUUCAGUAAAGUGUACAGUAUGUGAAAUGUAAA